rnacentral:rRNA from 1 species
GAUGAACGCUGGCGGCGUGCCUAAUACAUGCAAGUCGAGCGAACAGACAAGGAGCUUGCUCCUCUGACGUUAGCGGCGGACGGGUGAGUAACACGUGGGUAACCUACCUAUAAGACUGGGAUAACUUCGGGAAACCGGAGCUAAUACCGGAUAAUAUUUCGAACCGCAUGGUUCAAUAGUGAAAGAUGGUUUUGCUGUCACUUAUAGAUGGAUCCGCGCCGCAUUAGCUAGUUGGUAAGGUAACGGCUUACCAAGGCGACGAUGCGUAGCCGACCUGAGAGGGUGAUCGGCCACACUGGAACUGAGACACGGUCCAGACUCCUACGGGAGGCAGCAGUAGGGAAUCUUCCGCAAUGGGCGAAAGCCUGACGGAGCAACGCCGCGUGAGUGAUGAAGGUCUUCGGAUCGUAAAACUCUGUUAUUAGGGAAGAACAAAUGUGUAAGUAACUAUGCACGUCUUGACGGUACCUAAUCAGAAAGCCACGGCUAACUACGUG